rnacentral:rRNA from 1 species
AUAUCAAUAAGCGGAGGAAAAGAAACCAACAGGGAUUGCCCUAGUAACGGCGAGUGAAGCGGCAACAGCUCAAAUUUGAAAUCUGGCUCCCUUGGGGGUCCGAGUUGUAAUUUGUAGAGGGUGCUUUGGUGUUAGCUGUGGUCUAAGUCCCUUGGAACAGGGCGUCGCAGAGGGUGAGAAUCCCGUAUGUGGCCAGCAGCUCUCGCCUUGUAAAGCCCCUUCGACGAGUCGAGUUGUUUGGGAAUGCAGCUCUAAAUGGGAGGUAAAUUUCUUCUAAAGCUAAAUACUGGCCAGAGACCGAUAGCGCACAAGUAGAGUGAUCGAAAGAUGAAAAGCACUUUGGAAAGAGAGUCAAAAAGCACGUGAAAUUGUUGAAAGGGAAGCGCUUGCAGCCAGACUUGCUCGUAGUUGCUCAUCCAGGCUUCUGCCUGGUGCACUCUUCUGCGGGCAGGCCAGCAUCAGUCCAGGCGGUCGGAUAAAGGCUCUGGGAAUGUGGCUCCUCUCGGGGAGUGUUAUAGCCCAGGGUGCAAUGCGGCCAGCCUGAACUGAGGUCCGCGCUUCUGCUAGGAUGCUGGCGUAAUGGCUGUAAGCGG